AGAGGAAGGGACCGUGGGUGACACAAUUUUUUUUGAGGUCUUCUGUGUUUGAAAUCUUUUUCUUUUCUUUUUACUCUUAAAAAACAACAACAACAAAGAAAACAAAAAACUCUGAGUGCCGGACCAGGGAUCUUGGAAACAAGGAAGCAGCACUGGGGUGACACACCUGUGGCACAUCCGAGUCCAGCAGGGGAUGCUUCCUGGAGGAAUCGCUGGAGGGUCCAGCUCACUGUCACUGAAUCGAGGCUGUUCCUACGCCCAGUCCGCGGGGGACUUUUGAACAAUAGAGACCCCAAGACCACCAAGCUGAUGGCAUCUUCCACUCCUUCGCCUGCAAUCUCCUUGAACGCGGGAGCAAAUCCUAAUACUACCAACCUGCGCCCUACAACAUAUGAUACUUGGUGUGGAUGCAUCAGAAAACUGGGCCUGAAGAUCUGUGGCUUCUUGCAAAGGACCAAUAGCCUGGAAGAGAAGAGCUGUCUUGUGAGCGCCUUCAGGGAGAGACAGUCCUCCAAGAACCCGCUUUCCUGUGAAAACGGUGACCCGGGUACCCGCUUCCGGCGAACAAAGACCAACUUCUCCAAUCUGUUUGCUCAAGAUCUGCUUCCAGCUAAGAACGGGGAGGAGCAAACUGUGCAAUUCUUGCUGGAGGUGGUGGGCAUCCUCCUCAACUAUGUCUGCAAGACAUUCGAUCGCUCCACCAAGGUUUUGGACUUUCACCAACCACACCAGUUGCUGGAAGGCAUGGAAGGCUUUAAUUUGGAGCUGUCUGAUCACCCCGAGUCUCUGGAGCAGAUCCUGGUUGACUGUAGAGACACCCUGAAGUACGGGGUUCGUACAGGUCACCCUAGAUUUUUCAACCAGCUGUCUACUGGUUUGGAUAUCAUUGGUUUAGCUGGUGAAUGGCUGACAUCAACUGCUAAUACCAAUAUGUUUACAUAUGAAAUUGCACCGGUGUUUGUUCUCAUGGAACAGAUCACACUUAAGAAGAUGAGAGAGAUCAUUGGAUGGUCAAAUAAAGAUGGUGAUGGGAUAUUUUCUCCCGGGGGAGCCAUAUCCAAUAUGUAUAGCAUCAUGGCAGCUCGUUAUAAGUACUUUCCGGAAGUAAAGACAAAAGGCAUGGUGGCUGUGCCCAAACUGGUCCUCUUCACCUCAGAACACAGUCACUACUCCAUAAAGAAAGCAGGGGCUGCGCUUGGCUUUGGAACAGACAAUGUGAUUUUGAUAAAGUGCAAUGAAAGGGGGAAGAUAAUUCCUGCUGAUUUAGAGGCAAAAAUUAUUGAUGCCAAACAAAAGGGAUACGUUCCCCUUUAUGUCAAUGCAACCGCAGGCACGACCGUUUACGGAGCUUUUGAUCCGAUACAGGAGAUUGCGGACAUUUGUGAGAAAUACAACCUUUGGCUGCACGUGGAUGCUGCCUGGGGUGGUGGGCUGCUCAUGUCCCAGAAGCACCGCCACAAACUCAGUGGCAUAGAAAGGGCUGAUUCAGUGACCUGGAACCCUCACAAGAUGAUGGGCGUGCCGCUCCAGUGCUCUGCCAUUCUGGUCAAGGAAAAGGGUAUACUCCAAGGAUGCAACCAGAUGUGUGCAGGCUACCUCUUCCAGCCAGAUAAGCAGUAUGACGUCUCCUACGAUACUGGGGACAAGGCGAUUCAGUGUGGCCGCCACGUGGACAUCUUCAAGUUCUGGCUGAUGUGGAAAGCAAAGGGCACUGUGGGAUUUGAAAAUCAGAUCAACAAGUGCCUGGAGUUGGCUGAAUACCUCUAUACCAAGAUUAAAACCAGAGAGGAGUUUGAGAUGGUUUUCGAUGGUGAGCCUGAGCACACAAAUGUCUGUUUCUGGUACAUUCCACAAAGCCUUCGAGGGGUUCCAGAUAGCCCUGAGCGACGAGAAAAACUACACAGGGUGGCUCCCAAGAUCAAAGCCCUGAUGAUGGACUCAGGAACAACCAUGGUGGGCUAUCAGCCUCAAGGGGACAAGGUCAAUUUCUUCCGGAUGGUUAUCUCCAACCCAGCCACCACCCAGUCCGACAUCGAUUUCCUCAUUGAGGAAAUAGAGAGGUUGGGUCAGGAUCUGUAAUCCCACUAUGCAGAACCAGAAUGGCCAGCCAUGUUCUUGCUCCUCUGGCAAACCUAGAACACGGCUCUGUCAAUAGUUGACACACCUAGGCCAUUUCACUGAAGGAAAUUAUAAUCUCUUAAAGAAUAUUUGACAUGUCUCAUGUAAACUUGUUUGUUAGAGUUAGCGGGAAAUAAUGUUCUUUUUAAAAAAUAUUGCACAUUAUAAAUGCAGUAUAUAUGUACAGUUAUACAUGCCCCUCUUUAUGUUCAUGUAUGUACAGUGAAUGUGGCUUAACCCUAGACCACAGCAUGUGGCUCAUCCCCAGGGAAUUAACCUUCCCCGCUGUGCCCCAGCAAUUACUAAGAGUCUAAACCAUCUCGCAAGCAACUGCAGGGCAGAUGGUACCCCCCCCCCCAAGUGUCCUAGGGACCCAGAGAAAGGAUGUUGGUGGAAGCCUACCUCUCUGUUAGAGCUGUUCCCAUUUGAAAGGACGAUGGAUGACAGAAAGUACCAGUAGAUGACAAAUGUCACACCAUCCCUGUUAGUACCCUGCUAGGUGACAUAGUAGCAGAGUCUUUGUCACAAUUGUGCGAUUGCUGUGUUUUAGAGAUUAAGCUGUGUAAACUGUGUAUGCUACCAUUGUCGAUCUUUGGACAGGGGAAAGUGCAUAUGAUGAUUUCAUUGUACGUUGGUGAGAUAUUUGCUUAUUUAUAUUCAAAUAUAUACCAUGUUAAAGAGGCAUCUUGUAUUUUCUUCCCAUUUGUAAUGUGCUUAUUUAUAUAUUAAUGGAGUAAGUUCUGGAUACUGGUUAUGGCAUUUUCAUGCAUUUGUGAGCCAAAGAGAAGAGUCGAAAGUUAGUGAGGCUUGCAUUUUUAUUAGAGUGCCCUUAAUAUAAUGAUUUGACUGUAUAUGUACCAUCUAGAAAAGAAUUCUGAUACUGUACAUAGGGUCAUGGUAUGGAAAUCUUGCUUCUGUAGCCUUUGCUCUUCUCUUUCCCCCCUCAGGCUGUAUGCCAGGUGUUCUCAAAGCUUUUCUAGUAACUGUUGAAUAAUAAUAACUAGAUCUCCUGUAAUCUUUUGUAGUGUACGACCAAUCUCUGUGACUCGCUUAGCUGAAACCUAAGACAACGUUUCCAGAGAUCUCUGAUACACUGACCAGUCCCACAAGUGGUUUUGAAGACAUGAAACCCACAGUGUGCAUUUUAGAGUAUGCAAGAAGA